UGUGCGUUUCUGCGAAAAACAACUAGUUGAAUUUAUUGCACUGCUUACAAGAAAUAUCUGUGGAAUGUCUCAAGCUUUGAAGACAGUUUCCUAGACCCAAUAUAUACCUGGGUCCAAAACAACUCAAAUCACUUUGGUUGAGCUCAUCUUUGCAGCAAAUGCUGCCAAUCAAAGGAGCAUAUUGAAUAAAUAUGGUCAAAACACAGGGCAUGUUCAUGCCCUACGGCCUGCACCUUCAAAACUGAACAGACCUCAAACAGCUGCAUGUACCAUCUCGAUAGUAGAAUAGAAUUGAAUCACUUCAAAAAUUAACAAUUUUAAGAUGUGAUUUCCAGACUCAAUGGAAAUUAAGAAUUUUGACAGAACAAAUUAAAGACCACCUAUGAAGUGCACAUUAAAAGAUUAUUGCACAUUAAAAGAUGUCCGGUCAGUGCACCUUAACCACUGGAUCUUUUGAUCAUCWAUUGUACCACACCUCCAAGGAAAAUGAAGAUGUAACAGCUUUUUAUACAUCUUUCAACACCUUUUCUAUAAGGCUGUUGUUCCAACUACCAAAUCCUGGAUCAACCACCAAAUCCAGAUUCAACACUUUACUACUUUUUAAUGAAAAUAUGUCUUCAAAUGGUUACAAACGUCAUUGUAUAACAGAAAUAUAAUCAUACAGAACUUCAUGUCAACCCCGACCACGCAUAUUCAUUAACAACAAUGCUAGUCCACCUCACCUUCCAGCAGAGAGAGCCAUGCACCCAUUUGACAAAAAGUGGUGUAGUGUUAUCAGAUCRUUGAUCCCAUCUAAUCCUGGAUCAUCACUUACCAUGACCAUGACCAUAAUUUUGACACUACACGGCUGUUGGCGAACACAUUUUCCAAAAUCCAACAUGUAACAGCAACUAAUUGAUGCCAGUUCCGAUCCUGGAACUUGACAUCUGAGAAGCCAGUCUCAAUUACCUUUUUUGUCCAUUACAGAGAUUAAGUUCCCUUUGGACCAAAAUGCAAACAGGUCUCCAUGUUCUCAGCCAUUAGUCGUUUCCCCUUUCUAUUACCUGUAUGUAGUCSUUCUGUUGCAAAAGCCUCAGUCAAUAAUUAUCCAUAAAUAUACCUGAAAAACCUGUGGAGAAUAAUGCACUUCAUUGCCAAUUAGUGUAGUUUUUAGUACAAUAAACAAUUACAUUUUCUUCCAA